AAUAACGGAAAUAAUGGAAAUAACCUCCACAGAGACAGAAACAUACGGCAGAAAAUUACCUGACAGGUCAUGAACAACAACGGAAAUAACAGAAAUAGCAGAAAUAACGGAAAUAACCUCCACAGAGACAGAAACAUACGGCAGAAAAUUAGGUGACAGGUCAAGAACAACAACGGAAAUAACGGAAAUAGCGGAAAUAACGGAAAUAACGGCAAUAAUGGAUAGAAACUCCACAGAGACAGAAAAUUACGGCAGAAAAUUAACUGACAGGUCAUGAACGACAAGGGAAAUAAUGGAAAUAACGGAAAUAACGGAAAUAACCUUUGAAGACAGAAACAUACGGCAGAAACUUAGGUGACAGGUCAAGAACAACAACGGAAAUAACGGAAAUAAUGGAAAUAGCCUCCAGAGAGAAAGAAACAUACGGCAAAAAAUUAGGUGAGAGGUCAAGAACAACAACGGAAAUAAAAAAAAAAACCAAAAUAACGGAAAUAAUAACGGAAAUAACAAGUAAUAACAGAAAUAACAAAAAAAAUAAUGGGAAUAAUAACAGAAAAAAAAAAACGGAAAUAAUAACGGAAAUAAUGGAUAUAACGGAAAUAACGGAAAUAACCUCCACAGAGACAGAAACAUACGGCAGAAAAUUAAGUGACAGGUCUAGAACAACAAAGGAAAUAACUGAAAGAACGGAAAGAAAGGAAAGAACUGAGAGAAAAGAAAUAAAGGAAAUAACCUCCAAAGAGACAGAUACAUACGGCAGAAAAUUAAAUGACAGGUCGAGAACAACAACGGAAAUAACUGAAAUAACGGAAAUAACAGAAAUAACCUCGACAGAGACAGAAACAGACGGCAGAAAAUUAACUGUCAGGUCAAGAACAAAAACGGAAAUAACGGAAAUAAUGGAAAUAACGGAAAUAACCUCCGAAAGACAGAAACAUACGGCAGAAAAUAAGGUGACAGGUCAAGAAUAAAAACGGAAAGAACGGAAAUAACGGAAAGAACCUCCAGAAAGACAGAAACACACGGCAGAAAAUUAGGUGACAGGUCAAGAACAACAACGGAAAUAACGGAAAUAAUGGAAAUAACAGAAAUAACAGAAAACAAUAACGGUAAUAACGGAAAUAACCUUCGCAGAGACAGAAGCAUAAGGCAGAAAAUUAAAUGACAGGUCUAGAACAGCAAAGGAAAUGACUGAAAUAAUGGAAAUAACGGAAAUAAUCUCUGAAAGACAGAAACAUAUGGCAGAAAAUUAG
ensembl:lncRNA